rnacentral:rRNA from 1 species
ACUAGGGAUCGGGCGACCUCAAUAUAAUGUGUCGCUCGGCACCUUACGAGAAAUCAAAGUCUNUGGGUUCUGGGGGGAGUAUGGUCGCAAGGCUGAAACUUAAAGGAAUUGACGGAAGGGCACCACCAGGAGUGGAGCCUGCGGCUUAAUUUGACUCAACACGGGGAAACUCACCAGGUCCAGACAUGACUAGGAUUGACAGAUUGAUAGCUCUUUCAUGAUUUUAUGG